AGCAGCCGCGGUAAUUCCAGCUCCAAUAGCGUAUAUUAAAGUUGUUGCAGUUAAAAAGCUCGUAGUUGAAUUUCGGGGUUUAUCCGUUGGUCGGGCUUUUUGGUCUGUACUGGCGUGAUGGAUUCCUACCUUCUGAAUAACCGGCAUGCCAUUAAUUUGGUGCGCCGGGGAAGCAGGACUGUUACCUUGAAAAAAUUAGAGUGCUUAAAGCAGGCUUAUGCCUGAAUACAUUAGCAUGGAAUAAUGAAAUAGGACGGCAUGGUUCUAUUUUGUUGGUUUCUAGGAUUGACGUAAUGAUUAAUAGGGAUAGUUGGGGGCAUUAGUAUUCAAUUGUCAGAGGUGAAAUUCUUGGAUUUAUUGAAGACUGACUACUGCGAAAGCAUUUGCCAAGGAUGUUUUCAUUAAUCAAGAACGAAAGUUAUGGGGGAUCAAGACGAUCAGAUACCGUCGUAGUCUUAACCAUAAACUAUGCCGACUAGGGAUCGGGUGAUGUUAAUUUUUU
rnacentral:rRNA from 1 species